CAUUUUGUGUGGGACUUCUCCAUGGGAUUUGUUUGACACGUUUCUUUAUUAAAGGGGGAGGAUUGGAACACCUUGGGCUGAGAGUCAGAUAAUAACAGAGGCCCAUACAUAUGGCAAACACAGACACCAGCAGAAUCUCCAUGUAUCCUGAGCAGAUGUCAUUCAACUUGCAUUUGAAGGAGACGCUCUGCACUGAUUUGACUUUACAGGGCUCAUGAAACUGGUCGUGGCACAGGAACGAAGGGGAUCGCUUUGGGUGUUACCAAAUGCAGAAGCUCUUGACACAACGUCUGUCUUUGACAAACCGGUCAAACUGUGACCCCUGCCAAAGUCAUUCAUGCUUUCUUCUCAUGUGAGACUGCAGCAAGCUCUCUCAGCCCAACUUGACUGCUGAUUUCGCUAAACUGUUCGAAAGGCUGACCAUCAUUAGAAUCUGUCAGCAAACACAAGGUGAGUUGGGCUGGAUUGUGUUGAGUGACAUCCUUAAAAAUAUGAAUAUUGUCCACGCCAAGGCAAGCUAUUCUAAUUGGCCUGUUGCAUAUUAAAUUACAGUGGUAAGUGUCAAUUCAACUUGAGGCUUUACACGUCAAGGCGAGCCUUUGGAAUGUUUAAUUACCUUAGACCAACAGGCUGUAUCAGGCUGUGCGUCAUUGCUGGGGAAAAUCUUGGAAAGGAGAGUGAGAGUGGCAGUGGCUAACAAGCUGAACCUAUGCCUGUCCAGAGGUGCCACACCAUCUCACCAUCUCUAACUCUGAUCUCCUCGAUUUAGACAUUGAUGACGAAGAGGAGGAAGCCAGUCAUCUCUUCCCCGACCAACAGUCUAGGCCACCUAAGAGUGAACUUUAUGAUGGGAAAAGGUUGCCUCCUGCUCAGCCUGCGGAGAGACAACAACUGCCUGACGUGCCUGUUUGCAUGAAGGAAAUGUCCCACUACUGGUCUAGCCCCUUUAAGAGCAAGCUCCCCACCAAGGGGUAUUCCAUAUUGGAGAUACAAUGGAUGGGAGAGCUGGGGUCGGACCCCCAACAGUAGAGUCUUCGGUGAAUCUCCAUUAAAAUCAGCACUCUGUUUUCUGUCUUCUCUUGAUUUUGCUGCAGAGUGAGAUGGAAUAUAUAUCAGCGGAUGUAUGAAUAUGCAGGGCAGUCCGUGUGCUCACUGAACCUAGUGACUUUACUGUCAGACUACCAAGCGGAGAUUUCGGAGGAAAUGGGGUGGCAUCUGGAUUUAGGAGCACCGAACCCUGCACUCUGGGACUAAAUUUGUGCUGUGAAAGAUUUGAUUGUGUGCUCUUCCCGUGGCAUGGUUCAGGGCACGUGAUAGGCUUGGCUGUAUCAGGUGAAGUAAUUGAUGCUGCUUAUGACCCUAAGGUGCUGUUUGGCCCAGCCCUUGGUAAAAUGAGGGAAACCAGCACUCUCAGCAAACAGGAGAGUGAAACUUUUAACUUCUGUCUGCCACGUAAGCAAGCGACGUGAUUACCCACUCAA